rnacentral:rRNA from 1 species
GGGUUGUGAGGUUAAGCGACUAAGCGUACACGGUGGAUGCCCUGGCAGUCAGAGGCGAUGAAGGACGUGCUAAUCUGCGAAAAGCGCCGGCGAGGUGAUAUGAACCUUUGACCCGGCGAUGUCCGAAUGGGGAAACCCAGUGCAAUCCGUUGCACUAUCGUUAACUGAAUACAUAGGUUAACGAGGCGAACCGGGGGAACUGAAACAUCUAAGUACCCCGAGGAAAAGAAAUCAACCGAGAUUCCCCCAGUAGCGGCGAGCGAACGGGGAGCAGCCCGGAGUCUGAAUCAGCUUGUGUGUUAGUGGAACGGUCUGGAAAGUCCGACGGUACAGGGUGAUAGUCCCGUACACGAAAGCACACUUGCUGUGAACUCGAAGAGUAGGGCGGGACACGUGGUAUCCUGUCUGAAUAUGGGGGGACCAUCCUCCAAGGCUAAAUACUCCUGACUGACCGAUAGUGAACCAGUACCGUGAGGGAAAGGCGAAAAGAACCCCGGCGAGGGGAGUGAAAAAGAACCUGAAACCGUGUACGUACAAGCAGUGGGAGCCUACUUGUUAGGUGACUGCGUACCUUUUGUAUAAUGGGUCAGCGACUUAUAUUCUGUAGCAAGGUUAACCGUAUAGGGGAGCCGAAGGGAAACCGAGUCUUAACUGGGCGUUAAGUUGCAGGGUAUAGACCCGAAACCCGGUGAUCUAGCCAUGGGCAGGUUGAAGGUUGGGUAACACUAACUGGAGGACCGAACCGACUAAUGUUGAAAAAUUAGCGGAUGACCUGUGGCUGGGGGUGAAAGGCCAAUCAAACCGGGAGAUAGCUGGUUCUCCCCGAAAGCUAUUUAGGUAGCGCCUCGUGAAUUCAUCUUCGGGGGUAGAGCACUGUUUCGGCUAGGGGGCCAUCCCGGCUUACCAACCCGAUGCAAACUACGAAUACCGAAGAAUGUUAUCACGGGAGACACACGGCGGGUGCUAACGUCCGUCGUGAAGAGGGAAACAACCCAGACCGCCAGCUAAGGUCCCAAAGUCAUGGUUAAGUGGGAAACGAUGUGGGAAGGCACAGACAGCCAGGAUGUUGGCUUAGAAGCAGCCAUCAUUUAAAGAAAGCGUAAUAGCUCACUGGUCGAGUCGGCCUGCGCGGAAGAUGUAACGGGGCUAAACCAUGCACCGAAGCUGCGGCAGCGACACUAUGUGUUGUUGGGUAGGGGAGCGUUCUGUAAGCCGUUGAAGGUGUCCUGUGAGGGGUGCUGGAGGUAUCAGAAGUGCGAAUGCUGACAUAAGUAACGAUAAAGCGGGUGAAAAGCCCGCUCGCCGGAAGACCAAGGGUUCCUGUCCAACGUUAAUCGGGGCAGGGUGAGUCGACCCCUAAGGCGAGGCCGAAAGGCGUAGUCGAUGGGAAACAGGUUAAUAUUCCUGUACUUGGUGUUACUGCGAAGGGGGGACGGAGAAGGCUAUGUCAGCCGGGCGACGGUUGUCCCGGUUUAAGCAUGUAGGCGGAGGUUCCAGGUAAAUCCGGUACCUUAUUAACGCUGAGGUGUGAUGACGAGGCACUACGGUGCUGAAGUGAUAAAUGCCCUGCUUCCAGGAAAAGCCUCUAAGCAUCAGGUAACACGAAAUCGUACCCCAAACCGACACAGGUGGUCAGGUAGAGAAUACCAAGGCGCUUGAGAGAACUCGGGUGAAGGAACUAGGCAAAAUGGUGCCGUAACUUCGGGAGAAGGCACGCUGAUAUGUAGGUGAAGCCCCUGCGGGCGGAGCUGAAAUCAGUCGAAGAUACCAGCUGGCUGCAACUGUUUAUUAAAAACACAGCACUGUGCAAACACGAAAGUGGACGUAUACGGUGUGACGCCUGCCCGGUGCCGGAAGGUUAAUUGAUGGGGUCAGCGGCAACGCGAAGCUCUUGAUCGAAGCCCCGGUAAACGGCGGCCGUAACUAUAACGGUCCUAAGGUAGCGAAAUUCCUUGUCGGGUAAGUUCCGACCUGCACGAAUGGCGUAAUGAUGGCCAGGCUGUCUCCACCCGAGACUCAGUGAAAUUGAACUCGCUGUGAAGAUGCAGUGUACCCGCGGCAAGACGGAAAGACCCCGUGAACCUUUACUAUAGCUUGACACUGAACACUGGUCCUUGAUGUGUAGGAUAGGUGGGAGGCUUUGAAGCGUGGACGCCAGUCUGCGUGGAGCCAACCUUGAAAUACCACCCUUUAAUGGCUGGUGUUCUAACGUAGACCCGUAAUCCGGGUUGCGGACAGUGUCUGGUGGGUAGUUUGACUGGGGCGGUCUCCUCCCAAAGAGUAACGGAGGAGCACGAAGGUUGGCUAAUCCUGGUCGGACAUCAGGAGGUUAGUGCAAUGGCAUAAGCCAGCUUGACUGCGAGCGUGACGGCGCGAGCAGGUGCGAAAGCAGGUCAUAGUGAUCCGGUGGUUCUGAAUGGAAGGGCCAUCGCUCAACGGAUAAAAGGUACUCCGGGGAUAACAGGCUGAUACCGCCCAAGAGUUCAUAUCGACGGCGGUGUUUGGCACCUCGAUGUCGGCUCAUCACAUCCUGGGGCUGAAGUAGGUCCCAAGGGUAUGGCUGUUCGCCAUUUAAAGUGGUACGCGAGCUGGGUUUAGAACGUCGUGAGACAGUUCGGUCCCUAUCUGCCGUGGGCGCUGGAGAAUUGAGGGGGGCUGCUCCUAGUACGAGAGGACCGGAGUGGACGCAUCACUGGUGUUCGGGUUGUCAUGCCAAUGGCACUGCCCGGUAGCUAAAUGCGGAAGAGAUAAGUGCUGAAAGCAUCUAAGCACGAAACUUGCCCCGAGAUGAGUUCUCCCUGAGACCUUGAGUCUCCUGAAGGAACGUUGAAGACGACGACGUUGAUAGGUCGGGUGUGUAAGCGCAGCGAUGCGUUGAGCUAACCGAUACUAAUGAACCGUGAGGCUUAACCUUACAACGCCGAAGCUGUU